rnacentral:rRNA from 1 species
UACGUAGGGGGCGAGCGUUGUCCGGAUUUAUUGGGCGUAAAGCGCAGGUAGGCGGUUUGAUAAGUCUGUUGUGAAAGCUCCCGGCUUAACUGGGAGAGGUCAACGGAAACUAUCAGGCUAGAGUGUGGUAGAGGUAGCUGGAAUUCCCGGUGUAGCGGUGAAAUGCGUAGAUAUCGUGAGGAAGACCAGUGGCGAAGGCGGAUCUCUGGACAGUUCCUGACGCUGAGGCGCGAAGGCCAGGGGAGCAAACGGGG